rnacentral:lncRNA from 1 species
AGUGAGUGGUAUCUGGAACAUUUAGCUUAAUGGGCUGGUCCUCCUGAUGGUGUGAUUUCCUCUUGAGUCCUCCUUCAGCAACUGAUCUUCAUCCUGAAUGUCUGGCAAAGCUGUGAGUUGCAUCUCUUCUCUCUUGGGCUGUGAGAGGAAGCACCUGGGCUGGUUGGGAGGCUCUGACUCUGGAACUGGGCAGGAACGUGUUUUUAUUUUCCGUGGAAGUUGUUAUUCCAGGCUUCAGAAAAUGUGUUUCGUGGUGCUUUCCCCCACCCUCUUUGGCAGUCCCUGUGUCCAUCAACUCUGUGCCUACCUCCCUGUCUGGUGGUGUGGAAACAAGACCAGCAUCUACAAAGCAGUGGGGGUCACACUCCAGGGCCCACAGGGCCCAGCAGGACUCCUCCAAGUUAAAAAUAAUACGCCAGUGCAUAUUGUGAGGUCCCAGUUGUUGAGGUUGUACCAAGCCUUAUCUGUUCCAAAGGGAAGGAUCUCACACAGCACCUACUUUCAGGAUGAUUUGGAGCUAGACCCUCAGGCAGCAGCUUUCAAGAUGCUUGAAGAUUUGCAAAUAAAUCUCUCUCGCAUAUGAUGUAGGCGCUUUCCAAGCUGCUGCUUUUCUGCUGGGUCCUGGGGUGAGUAAGCUCGGGUACAUGCCCUUUAAGAGUGGACUUGGCAGUUCUCCACAGCCUGUUGGUCU